rnacentral:rRNA from 1 species
GUGAGGAAUAUUGCGCAAUGGAGGCAACUCUGACGCAGCCAUGCCGCGUGCAGGAAGAAGGCGCUACGCGUUGUAAACUGCUUUUAACCGGGAAGAAACCCCAGGACGUGUCCUGGGUUGACGGUACCGGAGGAAUAAGCACCGGCUAACUUCGUGCCAGCAGCCGCGGUAAUACGAAGGGUGCAAGCGUUAUCCGGAUUCAUUGGGUUUAAAGGGUGCGUAGGUGGGGCGAUAAGUCAGUGGUGAAAUCCUGCGGCUUAACCGUAGAAUUGCCAUUGAUACUGUCGCUCUUGAGUACGCUUGACGUGGGCGGAAUGUGCCGUGUAGCGGUGAAAUGCUUAGAUAUGGCACAGAACACCGAUAGUGAAGACAGCUCACGAAGGCGAAACUGACACUGAGGCACGAAAGCGUGGGGAUCGAACAGGAUUAGAAACCCGAGUAGUCC